GUGUUCCAGCAUUUUCCUGUCCUGCAUGAUCUUGGCCUGGUUUCUCCACCCCUGCAACAGCUCUGCAUUUCUGAGACACACACAUCCCAGAGAGUUCGGUAAAUCAGAUGGAGGCAGCUCUGGCAACAAUCCUCUUGUUGAGUCUUGGGUCCUGUGAUGUAGCCAUUAAAUAUUUUGCGCACUUA